GUGCCUGUAGCGCAAUGGCACGCGCGUGCACGCUUUGAACUUCUAAUCCAAAGGUCGUGGGUUCAAUUGCCACCAGGGAUG